rnacentral:rRNA from 1 species
UGGGGAAUUUUGGACAAUGGGCGAAAGCCUGAUCCAGCAAUGCCGCGUGUGUGAAGAAGGCCUUCGGGUUGUAAAGCACUUUUGUCCGGAAAGAAAUCCUUGGCUCUAAUACAGUCGGGGGAUGACGGUACCGGAAGAAUAAGCACCGGCUAACUACGUGCCAGCAGCCGCGGUAAUACGUAGGGUGCAAGCGUUAAUCGGAAUUACUGGGCGUAAAGCGCGCGCAGGCGGUUUGCUAAGACCGAUGUGAAAUCCCCGGGCUCAACCUGGGAACUGCAUUGGUGACUGGCAGGCUAGAGUAUGGCAGAGGGGGGUAGAAUUCCACGUGUAGCAGUGAAAUGCGUAGAGAUGUGGAGGAAUACCGAUGGCGAAGGCAGCCCCCUGGGCCAAUACUGACGCUCAUGCACGAAAGCGUGGGGAGCAAACAGGAUUAGAUACCCUGGUAGUCCACGCCCUAAACGAUGUCAACUAGUUGUUGGGGAUUCAUUUCCUUAGUAACGUAGCUAACGCGUGAAGUUGACCGCCUGGGGAGUACGGUCGCAAGAUUAAAACUUAAAGGAAUUGACGGGGUCAUAGCUGUUUCCU